CAUCGCCUCUUGCCCAAAUAUAAGAGGUCCAGCCUGCCCAGUGACAUAGUUUAACGGCCGCGGUACCCUAACCGUGCGAAGGUAGCAUAAUCACUUGUUCUUUAAAUAAGGACUCGUAUCAACGGCAUCACGAGGGCUGUACUGUCUCCUUUCUCCAAUCAGUGAAACUGAUCUCCCCGUGAAGAAGCGGGGAUUGACCUAUAAGACGAGAAGACCCCAUGGAGCUUUAAACCCAACACACACCUCUACGCACCCAAACCAAUAUAGCCCAAGAGACUUGUGUGUUGGUUUUAGGUUGGGGGGACCGCGGAGUAAAAUCAAACCUCCAUGACAGACGGGCUAACACCCUUAUCCAUGAACCACAAUUCUAAGAGCCAAUAAAUUGUUGUCUAAUGACCCAAUUACUUGAUCAACGAACCAAGUUACCCUGGGGAUAACAGCGCAAUCUACUUCAAGAGCUCCUAUCGACAAGUAGGUUUACGACCUCGAUGUUGGAUCAGGGUAUCCUAGUGGUGCAGCCGCUACUAAAGG
rnacentral:rRNA from 1 species